CUUUUGGAGAGUUUGAUCCUGGCUCAGGACGAACGCUGGCGGCGUGCCUAAUACAUGCAAGUCGA
rnacentral:rRNA from 1 species